GUCCCUUUGGGGACAUUCGAUAAAAUUGGAACAAUAUAGAGAAGAUUAAUAUGACUUUUAAGCGAGGAUGACAUGCACAAAUUGAAAAAUAGUCCAACUUUUU